rnacentral:rRNA from 1 species
GGCGGACGGGUGANUAAUACGUGGGUAAUCUGCCCCCGAGCUCGGGAUAACACCGCGAAAGUGGUGCUAAUACCGGAUAAGACCACAUGACACAUGUCGUGCGGUAAAAGGUGGCUUUAUUUUCGGAUGAGGCUAUCACUUGAGGAUGAGCCCAUGGCCUAUCAGCUUGUUGGUGAGGUAAAAGCUCACCAAGGCGAUGACGGGUAGCUGGUCUAAGAGGACGACCAGCCACACUGGGACUGAGACACGGCCCANACUCCUACGGGAGGCAGCAGUGGGGAAUAUUGGGCAAUGGGCGAAAGCCUGACCC